rnacentral:rRNA from 1 species
GCUUACGGACAUACCACCCUGAGCGCGCCUGAUCUCGUCUGAUCUCGGAAGCUAAGCAGGGUCGGGCCUGGUUAGUACUUGGAUGGGAGACCGCCUGGGAAACACGGGUGCUGCAAGCU